UCUGAAGUGGCAGAAGACGGGCAAUUUCUAAAGAACACUCUGGACACGCCUACCAGUCCCAUUUUCCAGGAUCGAACCUUCAACCUUGGCAUAUUGGGACGACACUCCAACCAACUAAACUACCUGGCCAGGGCUAGACUGUAUCCUUCAAUCAAAGCAAUCAACAGAGUCAUACGGAUUGUACAAGUGGGGACACUAACUUCUGGG